GACGAACGCUGGCGGCGUGCUUAACACAUGCAAGUCGAACGGUAAGGCCCUUCGGGGUACACGAGUGGCGAACGGGUGAGUAACACGUGGGUGAUCUGCCCUGCACUUCGGGAUAAGCCUGGGAAACUGGGUCUAAUACCGGAUAGGACCACUGCCUGCAUGGGUGGUGGUGGAAAGCUUUUGCGGUGUGGGAUGGGCCCGCGGCCUAUCAGCUUGUUGGUGGGGUGAUGGCCUACCUAGGCGACGAUGGGUAGCCGGCCUGAGAGGGUGACCGGCCACGCUGGGACUGAGAUACGGCCCAGACGCCUACGGGAGGCAGCAGUGGGGAAUAUUGCACAAGGGGCGCAAGCCUGAUGCAGCGACGCCGCGUGAGGGAUGACGGCCUUCGGGUUGUAAACCUCUUUCAGCACCGACGAAGCGCAAGUGACGGUAGGUGCAGAAGAAGGACCGGCCAACUACGUGCCAGCCGCCGCCGUAA
rnacentral:rRNA from 1 species